rnacentral:rRNA from 1 species
GACAGAGGGGGCAAGCGUUGCUCGGAAUCACUGGGCGUAAAGGGCGCGUAGGCGGGAUGGCAAGUCGGUCGUGAAAUCCUUCGGCUCAACCGAAGAACGUCGGCCGAUACUGCCGUUCUUGAGGGAUGCAGAGGAGAUUGGAAUUCCCGGUGUAGCGGUGAAAUGUGUAGAGAUCGGGAGGAACACCGGUGGCGAAGGGCGGG